GUUUUAGUUCUAGAAUAUCCAACAUACACUUAGUCUCUAUAUCUCUAUAAUCAUGAUUGUCUGAAUAGAAACCCUAAGUCUAACGCCUUUCUUAUCUGUUUGAAAACCUCGAUCAAUCAACCAAGCAAUUACUUUGCUCACCCCUGCUAUUUACAUUUAAACCAUUCGACCUAGCUUAACCACAUAACUACUAGAUAUUUUGUGUCCCUUAGCUCCUUGUGAAUUUGAUCCCUAAGUGCUACAACUCAACCUCUUAUUUGAGAGAAUACAAAUCAUUCUUCAGGGUAAUUUAAGUGAUAUCAAAUGAUCCUACAUCCAAAUUUCAAUUCUCGUCAGUCCUAAAGUAUUAACACAUUUCAAUAUUGAUUUAAUUUAUGAACUUGGGCUCAAAGGUAUGCUAUGGGUUUUGAAUUUUUCCUUCUUAGUGAUGAUUAAAUUGUCAUCUUUAGAUUGUUGUCUUUGUUAAUUCAUGAC
rnacentral:lncRNA from 1 species